UUAAGAAGAGGUUUAAUUACAGCUACCUUGAAGGACUGUGGUACAUGUCCUGUCAACAAAGACAGAUUCAUAAUAUCUAAUAAGGAUGUGCUAACUAAAGGAAAAACUGCCUUAAACAGCUUGGUCGGAAUCGGAUCCAAGAGACAAGUAAAAGAUUUAGACUUUGAAAAUAAAGAAGUCAGUUGAUCAAGGUUGAUGGAAGAGAAGGCAUCUAAACAGGCAUCAGGGCCCACCUCUGCAAUCAAGGUUCCUACAUCGGAGGACAGGUCGGCACUGGUUGAAGAAUACACACUCUGAAGCGGCACAAUCAAAAAAUGAUGCAACGUCAGAAAAGGCCUGAUGUGAACCUGUGAAAAAAACACUAUGCAAAGUCACCAACUCAAGAGUCAUUGGAUACAUUGAAGAGGACGGU
ensembl:lncRNA